UCCUCCCUUUGCAUCUCAGUGUUCGAUUUGCUCGGUAGAUCUGUGAAAUGGUCUUUAUACAUAUUUUAACAUCUGUGAGAAAACUCUCAUGUCGACACAAGAGAUGGUGCAACAACCAAGCAACAGCUGAUCUCCACGCCGACCAGAGCCCCCCCGUCUGCAUCUUUGAUCUCGAACGGAUCAGCUGAAACACGGCUCGCUUAUUAUUCAGACAGGAGAGAGAUAUCUACACGCUAACACGCGUAGGGCAAACUUCAGGGGUGCCAUGUGCUCUUCAAGGCCAAAUCAACUUGUGUAAUUAGUUUCUUGGAAUUUGGAAGUUUUCCACCUGUCCUCAUUCACUGUCGUGUAAACACUCGGGGUGGGAAUCACAAGGUAACUGGUGAUACAAUACAAUAUCGAUAUUUAGGUCACGAUAUGAAAUCAUUGCGAUAUUUCACUAAGUGUUGCUCAUUCGUCUUCAUCGGACUUAAAGGGGUAGUUCAUCCAAAAAUGUAAAUUCUCUCAUUCACAUAUGCUGAUGCCUCAGAUGUAUUCUGUCUUUCUUCAGCAGAACACAAAUUAAGAUUUUUAGAAAAAUGUUGAAGCUCUGUAGGUCCUUAUAUUGUAAGUAAAUGGGUGCCGUCAAUCUGCUGUCUGAUGGUCCAAAAGUCAUAUUUAGGCUGCAUAAAACUCAAUCACGACUCAAUCAAUUAAUGUCUUCUGAAGUAAUUUUUUUUUUAACUUCAAAUCGUUGCUUCCGCCCAGCGCUGGGAUGCUGUUAGAAAUGAACUAAUUCUCGCCUGUCAUUUGUUCCUCUGUUGAUUACAAAGUGCUUCCAACUUCACGCGUGAAUGCACCAUAUAGCGCUUACGACACUGAUGUGUCAACUGCUGACAGGAAGUGACUGACAAGUGUCAGUCACCUCCGCUUCUGAGACCGUCAAUCUGUGCAUCUGAUCACGUGACUCGUUGUGCAUGACACCGCGGAGACUCACAGCAUGUGGAGGCUCAUGCUACUCUCCACGAUCCACACCCAACUCACCACACGCCCCAUUGAGAGAACCACUAAUCACCACCAUGAGGAGGUUACCCCAUGUGACUCUACCCUUCCUAGCAACCAGGCCAAUUUGGUUACCCCAUGUGACUCUACCCUCCCUAGCAACCGGCCCAAUUUGGUUGCUUAGAAGACCUGACUGGAGUCACUCAGCACACCCUCUAAAUUGAAACCAGUGUCAAAAUAAUUGUUUUCCUAAAAAUGAUGACAGUUAUGGGUCAUUUCCAUCACACUAAUAGAGUUUGUUUAAAAGUGAGUGUGGAUAAAAGUGUCAGUAAAGGGCAUGCUUGAGAUAACAUUUGAGAAAAAGACAAAUCAAGGGAAAUAUCACUUUUUAUUGGUUGUCAUUUCCAAUCAAGCUGUAAGUUUGCUAAAUUAUGCAAAAAGUGUGAAAAUAUGAAUUACUUGUGUGUAUUUAAAAUGCAUAUAUUGCUAGCUAUGAAAUUAGCCAUUUUAUUUGAAAAGCGCUAAAAAUGUCAUUUCCGGCACAGAAUUCUAUAGAUGAUGUGCUUGAAAUGACACUGUGGUGGGAAUUGUCAUGACAAAAAUGUGCACGCCUGUGACUACACAGCUUAUACUACCAUAACGCCCACCUCUUUUCACAGAUUAGCAUGUUACUAGACUCACAUGUUCCUUUUCUACUUCCUUUACAUGAUUAAUGCCUCCUCACCCCACCACCAAACCGCUCUAUUUUUAGCUGCCAUGUCAAAAGGGGGCCGCAGUUCACACGACGGAUGAAAUCAUCACAUACAGUCUCUUUGUUUCACUGUUAACGCAGAGAAUCAAGUCUGUGAAAUGGAAAUGAGUGUCGCUUGUUGUCUUUGUGACUAGCACUCGUGUGAAUGAUUUCUCUCAGACGCUGGAAUCCCGUCAAGUUCUGCCGAAAACUGGAGUGAGUAAGAGAGAGGAAAGAGAGAACAAAAACCACACAGAAGACAAAAACAGAUUCCCACAAGAGAGGGAAAAAAGUGUUUAAAAAUGUCCAGACAGGUGAGUCUUCUGUGUGCUAGACAGACAUUGUUUAGGUGAGGUGGAUUUGGAUCGGCUGAUAAAGUGUGGCUCUCCGGCAUUUCUGUGCCAUCACAUAGGUGGGCUGGGGGCAUGCCAGGCACUGGCAAACACUCUUGCUGCGGUGGCAGCUGAGGCACGCUAUUUUGAUGCGGUUUCAGGAUGUUACAUGCCGGUUGUUUAGUCAGAAACAUCCCAACAUGGCUUCCCUGCUAAAAAACGUCCCCGCAUUAGCAAUGUGACACGUGAAGUGUUUAGUGGCGCUACAGCACAAUUUUUUUGUCUUAUUUUUUGUAUAGGUUGAUAAAAAGUUAAGUUGAUAAUUAAAUUAAUUUACAAACUUGCGCAGUUAGAUUGGGAUAACAUGUCAAAAAACAAAAGUGGAUCGCCCCUGUUAUUUGCUCUUAUUUUCACCAUUUGCAAAGGGGGACAUUUUUUAAAAAACAGCUGAAAUGAAUAAAGGCAAAGGGUUGGGAGAUGUGUGUGAUGUUUUAUUUAUUGUCUGAUUAUAUUUUGUCUCCUGCUGCCCGAUACCUUGCUUUCCUCUUGUGCUCUCUGUGUAUUUCAUUGGCUGUGGCUCAUUGUUGGUCUUGGGACGAUGCUGUGCACACAUGAUGACAAGACAUCAAGAUAUCAAGCAGGUUUGAAAUCUGUCAUAGUGUCCACGACUAGUCUCAGCACGUCGCUUGAGUGCACACAAUACACAACUGUUUGAUGCGAGAUCUGAGACUUCUCAUCGCAGACCAGUUGCAGACUCAAAACCUAAAGUAGACGAGCUUGAGUCCUAUAGGCAUCUUUAGAGUUUUCACAAAGAGAAUUGAAAUGUCGAGUUUUUACUCUUAUUGUCAAUGUUAUUUGGAUUGGCCUAUCUGGCCGCAGUGUUUCCACAGAAACUGUGUAUGAAAACCAGAGAAAUGAACUAAUGUCAGCGCCUCGCGGGUCAUUGUGUCCACAUCCUGCUCCGUAUAAUUCCAGACGAUUUCUCAGAGGUAUGCGUUGGACUGCGGCCCAGUAGGAAAGGCCGUGUGGCGUCUCCUCCUCCACUGGCAGUCGGGCUGAAGCUUGUGGGAAGAAAAUAAUCCAGUGUCAUCCGAUGCAGCGUGGAAAACUGACGGCCAAGCCAGGCAGGGUAUGCCGCAAUGGGAGGAGGAGGUUUCUGGAAGUUUGAGUUCAACAGGAUCUUUGCCAAACAUUGUGUUUGCUUGCAGCCGUGUUCAACCAAGACUGGAAGUGUUUGUGCGUCUUUAUGGAUCGAAUGUGUGAAAAUCUUCCUUCAGUGUUCUCUUCGCCAGAUAUUUGCAGCCCAAAGUGACUCAAAAUUGUCAAAAUAAAAAAUGCAUGACUGUUAGCUUUGAGGUCAUCUAUAUGGUAUUAUAUUCCUUAUAACUGGCAACAUAA